rnacentral:rRNA from 1 species
AUUGAACGCUGGCGGCAGGCUUAACACAUGCAAGUCGAGCGGGGUGAUGGUGCUUGCACUAUCACUUAGCGGCGGACGGGUGAGUAAUGCUUAGGAAUCUGCCUAUUAGUGGGGGACAACAUCUCGAAAGGGAUGCUAAUACCGCAUACGUCCUACGGGAGAAAGCAGGCGAUCACUUGUGACCUUGCGCUAAUAGAUUAGACUACGUCGGAUUAGCUAGUUGGUGGGGUAAAGGCCUAACAAGUCGACGGUAUGUAGCGGGUCUGAGAGGAUGAUCAGCAACACUGGGACGGAGACAAGGCCCAGAAUCCUACGGGAGGCAGCAGUGGGGAAUAUUGGACAAUGGGGGGAACCCUGAUCCAGCCAUGCCGCGUGUGUGAAGAAGGCCUUAUGGUUGUAAAGCACUUUAAGCGAGGAGGAGGCUCUUUUGGUUAAUACCCAAGAUGAGUGGACGUUACUCGAAGAAUAAGCACCGGCUAACUCUGUGCCAGCGGCCGCCGUAA